AUGGAAUAUAUGUACACACAGGAUAUUACAUAAUCUACGUGUGUGUGCAGUAUAUUACAUUU
rnacentral:pre_miRNA from 1 species